rnacentral:piRNA from 1 species
UGCUAAGUGCUGUGAUCAAAGCAAGGAUUC